UAUCUCUCCGUACGGGGAAGGAUGAGAAGCUUCGACUAAGGUUCGAUUCGAGCGAAAGCGAGAAAGCGUUGCCAACGGCAACGACCCAAAGGGCGAAGCGCGCAGCGCUGAGUAAUCCUUCCCCCGUCAUCC
rnacentral:sRNA from 3 species